rnacentral:lncRNA from 1 species
ACUCUGCAUUUGUUUACAGUAACUCUUUAAAUGUUACAUUAAAAAAAGAUCCGUUGGUCGGUCCUUUUUCAGAAAAGUAAAUGGACUAGCUCAACGGUGCAUCCUUUAGACGCGAUUAAAAGAAAAACAAGAUCUCUCUACAUUUAUGCAGUGUAAAAGUUCGGAUCUGAAAGCGCAUUGUUAUAUGAUGUAACCUACUGAAGCGUUAGUAAAGAGAAGAGAAUGUACCUCAUCGGCAGCGACAGAUGGACCGGGAGAGGAAGCAUCGAGGCUAGGUCCAGGAGCUCCAGUUGGUGGAGCGGGAGGUCCAAGCAUAUCAGGUGAAGGAGUCGGAGCAUGGUGUUUCUUGGAUUUCUUGCUUUUGCUCUUGCUCUUGCUUGGAGCUGGGGCCGGAACCUCAGCAGUAGUUGGUGCAGCAACAGGAGCCGGAGGAGAGGCCGAGCUCUCUGGUGGAGUCGUCGGUGCAGCAACGGGAGGCGAUUUGGCUGGAGGAGAGCUCACAGGUACUGGAGCAGGUGGAGAACUCACCGGAGCAGCAGCCGGAGGAGAAGAAGCCGGAGCAGAUUUAGAUGGGGCUGGAACCGCCGCAGACUUCUCCGGAGCCGCAGCCGGUGGUGAAGAAGUUGGUGGGGAAGUGGUAGGGGCAGCAGUUGGAGCCGGUGAUUUAGGUUUGCUAACAGGGGCAGUAGCGGGAGCAGUAGCAGGAGUAGCCGCGGCCGGCGGAGCUUUAGUAGGUGAGGCUGCCGGAGAUUGACCACCGACAGCGGUUACCACAAAGCAAAUCAAAGCAACUGCAAAUGCACUUCUACGAUCCAUUUCUUGAAGACAGAGGGAGAGUGAAGUAGUAACAGAAACUAAUGACAACGAGACGACAGACUCUCAAUAAAUAUAUAAAUAAAUGAGGGAGAGAAUCAGAAAAAAUGAUGAUUAUAAAAAGAAAAGAAGAAAAAGUUAGGAACGUGUUUGGAUCAGAAAUAGCCGUUGGAUGAGAAGCUAUUUCGGGGCCCACCGUCAUCAAAUUGUAAUGUGGCGAUCAAGACUCGACAGUCUGGAUUGGGGCCCACAUACAUGAACCAUGUAAUUUGUUGUUACAUUACCUGAUUAGGGUAAACUACACCCAAGGUCACUGAAGUAUUAAUAAAUUUACAUUUCAGUCGUUUAACUUUAAAAAGUUACAAAAUAGUCACUAAAUCAUUCGGAAGUUUUUAUUUAAUUCAUUGAGAUAUUAAAUCUCUGUUAUAUGGCUUUCUUUAUUCACACGGCCUACACCAAUCAAAAGAUCUUAUUCUCCUUCUCUUCAACAAUUUAAUUAUUUUCAUAGAAUAAUUUUGAAUGUUAUGAAUUUACGAAUCAAAAUUCAAACAGUUUUCUUUUUCAAUCUCUUACAAGGUAUGUUCUUCUACUCUUUGAUAGGUACUAAUCCAUUGUAUCAAUCGUCAUAAAAAAAUACUUAACAAUUCAAUGACUUAAAUAAAUACUUUCAAAUAAUUUAGUGACCAUGUUGUAACUUUUUAAAGUUAAGUGACCAAAAUAUGAAUUUACUAAUAAUUUAGUGACCUUAGGUGUAGUUUACCCUACUAAUUAAUAUUAUAAUAAAUGUUUAAUUCUAUCCCCAACCUCUGUACUCUUUGGGGUUUUAAAAUUUAGCCUUCCUACUUUUGAUUUUAAAAAUUUAGUUUCUCUUCAUUUUUAUUUAAAAGUCCAAUUCAUGAAAACUUGGUUAAAUUUUAAUAUUCGAAGCUUUGAUCUAAAAAUAAUAAUAUAUAUUUAAAUUGAAUGGAAAUGUUAUUAAUUAAAUUUUAAUUUUUAAAUCAAGCAGGAGAGAUAGGGAAUUAAAAUUUAAAAUUAAAAUUUAAAAGCUGAAAGAGUAAAGGGGUUGGAAAAAAUUAAACCUACAAUAACUAAUUGAAUGAUACAAUUGUUAUGAAGUAGUGAGACAGCUGGACGUAGGGAGAGUGGGGUAUUGCUGCGCAAAGAGACAAACCAAUAGGAGGCGGCCGCGUGACCGGGUAAAGCAGUUACGGGUGAUAUUUUGAGAUGGGUCACCGACUCACCGGCAAGAAACUGUGUCUCUGCAAGCAAAACUUGUCUGGAAUAACGUGACGUGUAUUAUACUUAAACACCCUAACCUUUUCUCUUUUCGUUAAAAAUUGUCAAGUGGCUAAGGCUUUUUUUUUUAUCAUCUAUAUAUUAGAGUUUUAAAAAAAGUUUUGCAAAAUAGUUGAGUUGUGUAAUUAUUUCACCUCCACCCUUUGGCCUCUCUCGGUACAUUAUUAUGUAAAAGUGAGUAUUCCACUGAAUCGAUUAAAAAAUUUUGAGUUAAUUGAGUUAACGAGUUUUAUUUUAUCAUUCUAACUCGAUUUAAUUUUUUUUCAAAUUGAAUUGAGUAAAAUAAAAUUCGAGUCGAUUCGAAUGAAAUUGUUUGAGUUAAAUUAAAAAAUUAAACAUGUUAAAUUAAAAUCUUGUUAUACUAUAUAGAGGUGCUCAUGGGCCGGGCGGCCCGGCCCGGCCCGACGGCCCGCCCGAAAUAUGGGAGGGUUUGGGUAAAAAUAUAGGCCCGAAAUAUGGGCUUGGGCAAAAAAAUGAUGCCCGAUUUAAAAACGGGCCGGGCCUCGGGCACAACUUUUUUGGCCCGGGCCCGGCCCGGCCCGGCCCGAAUAUAAUAAAUAUUUUUAUUAUUUUUAAUUUUAAAAUACUUUUAAAAUACUUUUAUUAAAUUUUUUAAAUUUUUAAAUUUUUUUAAAAUACUUUUUAAAUUUUUUUUAAUUUUAAAAUAUUUUUAAAAUACUUUUUUUAAUUUUUAUUUUAAUUUUUAAAAUAAUUUUUUGGUAAUUAUUUAAAAAACGGGCCGGGCCGGGCCCAGGCUUAUGAUUUUUUUCCCAGGCUGGGCCUGGGCAAAAUUCUAGGCCCAUAUUUUGGGUCGGGCCAAAAAAAAUUUUUGGGCCCGGCCCGGCCCAGCCCAUGAGCACCUCUAAUACUAUAACUAAUUCCAUGUUAUAACACAUAAAUUUGAAACCAUAUAUAUUUGAAAACUUUUUCAAAGCAGAAUAAAAAAAUUACUUUAGUAUGAUAAACUUGAAUCAUUAAUUAACUUAUUUAGGUCCCAAAAUUAUUAUUCUAGAAAAUUUUUAAUAUUUUAACUUUCUUUAUAUUUUUUUAGAUUUUUUUUUGAAAUUUUUAUAAUUUUUAAAAAGUAUAAAUUUGGAAUUUUUAUAAAUAUUUUGAAAUUUUAAAAUUAUUUUGUAAUUUUUAUUGAGAGAGUGGUCAAUUUGUUCAUUUUCAAACUUGGCAGAGACCAAAAAGGUAUUUAUACCAAUAUGUUAUUCGAAUUAUUCGAGUUAUUUUAAUUGUAAAAUUCAACUCGAUUCGAACUCGAAACUCGAAUUACUUACUCGAGUUGACUUGAAUAAUUCAAAUAACUCGAUUCAAUUAACUCAAAAUUUAAUUUUUUUCGGAUUAAAUUGAAUUUUGCUCACUCCUAUUAUUUUGCACAGCAUCACAAUAUAGAUUUUUCGGUUUUAAAAUAUCGCCGAUCUAUAUUCUUCUUCAAUGCUAUAAAGCUCGACCCUUCCACAAUCAUUAUCUAUACAUCAUCAUCAUACAUUGUAUGAAUCGUAGAAUAUAUUACUGGAUUGUCAUAUAUAAUAAAUUUAUAUCUAUUCAUCAUCAUCAUACAUUAUACAAAAAUAUAUAAUAUGUCAAUUUACUACAUUCAUGAUAUGGAUUGAAAGAUAAAAAUUACACAAAUAAAAAUUACAUUUACUAAAAAUAAUGAUAUUUUCAAUAAUUAUUUGAUUUUAUAAAUAAAAGAGUUAUUAAUUAAAAUGAUAAAUAAAAAAUAAAAAAAACUUGAAAACAAUAUAUUUAUUAAUUAUAAAUAUUAAUUAAAAAUAAUAAAAAAGUUGAAAUAAAAAAUACAUAUUAAAAUUCUUAUAAAAGGAAUCAAACUUAGGACUGAAAGAAGAAAUCACAAUUAUCUAACCAUCUAACCAAAAGAGCUAAUGUGUCAAAAAUAUUAAUUUAAAAAAAAACUUAAAAUAACAUGAAAUAAAAAUUACAAAAGUGAAUAGGAGAGGAAUUGAACCUAAGACUUAAGACUAAAAACACUAACACUUAACCAUCUGAUCAAAAGAGCUAAGUUGUCAAUUUGUGAAAACAUGACACAUGUUCAGCUGACGUAGCUAAAAAUAUGCCCUAUAAGACGCAUUUUCAAUGACAUAGACAGUGAAAAUGCACCAUGUAAGACGUGCUUUCCUUUCUCUCUUCAAAACAACAUUGAUAAAUUUAAAAAAAACAACAUAGAUAAUUAAAUGUAGAUUUUUUUUUUCAGCAUAAAUGGAUAAAUCAACCUGGUAUAUAUUAAAUUAAUUAUAUUAUCUUAAUUAUUUAUUUGACUGAGUCUUAUUAAUGAAUGCCAAAUAUUAUAUAUUAUUAAUUAAUAUUUGCCUUCUGUUUCGAGCAAAUAAGAAAGCUUCAUAUUGGCCAUUUACACGCACACACGCAUAUAUAUCAUAGUGUAUUAUGAAUAUUCCAAGUGAAGGGAAUUUGCAUGCUUUUGGCUUUGGGUUGAUGGGAAAACGACAAAAACACCAAUAUUAACCAAUAAAAUUAAAAGCUUUAGAAUUAAGGACGAAUCACGCUUGAAAGUAGGCAUUGGGUCUAAUACAGUUUGUAUACAUUUGAUGCUUCAAAUAAUGCAUUUUGAAAGUUUGCUGCUUGGGCUUACAUUUUACAGGGUUUUGUUGUAGAGAAAAAGAGAAUUUUUAAUUUGUAGAGUCCUCUUGUGAAGUGCUUCUUCUGAUACGUGGCAAUUGUGAAUGUAAGAAGUUUCAUACAUGUAAGUCUGUCUGGUGUUUGCAGCCGGGGGAGAAGACGAUAGGAACCAAUGAAUAACGUCUCUCCUGGUUUAUGCCCCCAUGCCUAAUUAUUUUUUACUCAAAACUGUUCUUUCAGAUUAAACUAAAUAUUCAGAUUGAUUUGUAAGAUAUGCAUUUGCUGCCAUUUUAAGCUUUCCUGUACUUUCAUUGGAACAUUGUCUAACCAAACAACUCCUUUUUUCCCUGUAAUGGUUCAUGAGCUAUAUAUGAUCGUUUCAGUUUUGUUACUUUUACAAUGUUUAACCUGCACAAAUGAUCUUGGGAUUCAUUAGCAUUGGUAUUAGUAAAAUAAAUUGUGAUUUUAUUAAAAUAUAAUAGAGAAAUAAAAGACAGAAAAUGGGUAAAUGAAGGGGAAAAAAAAAAAGAAUGGGGGAAAUUACAUAGGAAAAAAGAACUAGAGUUUCCGCCUCUCAAUACACCAACCAAAGAAUUACAACGCAGAAUGUGGAAUGUGAUCAAAAUCAAUCUAGAAGCUCAAAGCAAUGGCUGCCCAUCCCAACGCCAACCCUCCAAUUAUCUUCUUCAUGUUCUUCAUUGCCUCUGCUCCACUCUGCAUUUGUUUAUAAUAACUCUUUAAAUGUUACAAAUAAAUAUAGUUUUAAGAUGAAAAAAAGAUCCAUUGGUCGGUCCUUUUUCAGAAAAGUAAAUGAACUAGCUCAACGGUGCAUCCUUUAGACGCGAUUAAAAGAAAAACAAGAUCUCUCUACAUUUAUGCAGUGUAAAAGUUCAGAUCUGAAAGCGCAUUGUUAUAUGAUGUAAGCUACUGAAGCGUUAGUAAAGCGAAGAGAAUGUACCUCAUCGGCAGCGACAGAUGGACCGGGAGAGGAAGCAUCGAGGCUAGGUCCAGGAGCUCCAGUUGGUGGAGCGGGAGGUCCAAGCAUAUCAGGUGAAGGAGCCGGAGCAUGGUGUUUCUUGGAUUUCUUGCUUUUGCUCUUGCUCUUGCUUGGAGCUGGGGCGGGAACCUCAGCAGUAGUUGGUGCCGCAACAAGAGCCGGAGGAGAGGCCGAGCUCUCUGGUGGAGUCGUCGGUGCAGCAACGGGAGGCGAUUUGGCUGGAGGAGAGCUCACAGGUACUGGAGCCGGUGGAGAACUCACCGGAGCAGCAGCCGGAGGAGAAGAAGCCGGAGCAGAUUUAGAUGGGGCUGGAACCGCCGCAGACUUCUCCGGAGCCGCAGCCGGUGGUGAAGAAGUUGGUGGGGAAGUGGUAGGGGCAGCAGUUGGAGCCGGUGAUUUAGGUUUGCUAACAGGGGCAGUAGCGGGAGCAGUGGCAGGAGUAGUCGCGGCCGGCGGAGCUUUAGUAGGUGAGGCUGCCGGAGAUUGACCACCGACAGCGGUCACCACAAAGCAAAUCAAAGCAACGGCAAAUGCACUUCUACGAUCCAUUUCUUGAAGACAGAGGGAGAGUGAAGUAGUAACAGAAACUAAUGACAACGGGACGACAGACUCUCAAUAAAUAUAUAAAUAAAUGAGGGAGAGAAUAUCAGAAAAAAUGAUGAUUAUAAAAAGAAAAGAAGAAAAAGUUCGGAACGUGUUUGGAUCAGAAAUAGCCGUUGGAUGAGAAGCUAUUUCGGGGCCCACCGUCAUCGAACUAUCAUACAAAGACACAUUGUAAUGUGGCGAUCAAGACUCGACGACAGUCUGGAUUGGGGCCCACAUACAUGACCAUGUAAUUUGCUGUAACAUUACCUGAUUAGGGUAAACUACAGCCAAGGUCACUGAACUAUUAAUAAAUUUACAUUUCAGUCAUUUAACUUUAAAAAGUUACAAAAUAGUCACUAAAUCAUUCGGAAGUUUUUAUUUAAUUCAUUGAGAUAUUAAAUCUCUGUUAUAUGGCUUUCUUUAUUCACACGGCCUACACCAAUCAAAAGAUCUUAUUCUCCUUCUCUUCAACAAUUUAAUUAUUUUCAUAGAAUAAUUUUGAAUGUUAUGAAUUUACGAAUCAAAAUUCAAACAGUUUUCUUCUCUGAUCUCUUACAUUGACUAUUAGAUUGACUUGGAUCUGAGGUAUGUUCUUCUACUAUUUGAUAGGUACUAAUCCAUUGUACCAAUCGUCGAAUCAUUGCUUGGAGCUCGCUAGCCGAAAUUUAAAAAAAUACUUAAUAACCCAAUGACUUAAAUAAAUACUUUCAAAUAGUUCAGUGACCAUGUUGUAAUUUUUUAAAGUUAAGUGACCAAAAUAUAAAUUUACUAAUAAUUUAGUGACUUAGGUGUAGUGUACUCUAGUAAUUAAUAAUAUAAUAAAUGUUUAAUUCUAUCCUUGGGGUUUUGAAAUUUAGGCUUUCUACUUUUGAUUUUAAAAAUUUAGUUUCUCUUCAUUUUUAUUUAAAAGUUAAAAGUCCAAUUCACAAAAGCUUGGUUAAAUUUGAAUAUAUAUCAUUUUAAUAUUCGAAGACUUGAUCUAAAAAUAAUAAUAUAUAUUUAAAUUGAAUGGAAAUGUUAUUAAUUAAAUUUUAAUUUUUAAAUCAAGCAGGAGAGAUAGGGAAUUAAAAGGUGAUAGAUUAAAAUUUAAAAGCUGAAAGAGUAAAGGGGUUGGAAAAAAUUAAACCUACAAUAACUAAUUGAAUGAUACAAUUGUUAUGAAGUAGUGAGACAGCUGGACGUAGGGAGGGUGGGGUAUUGCUGCGCAAAGAGACAAACCAAUAGGAGGCGGUCGCGUGAUUGGGUAAAGAUGUUACGGGUGAUAUUUUGAGAUGGGUCACCGACUCACAGGCAAGAAACUGUGUCUGCAAGCAAAACUUGUCUGGAAUAACGUGACGUGUAUUAUACUUACCCUAACCUUUUCUCUUUUCGUUAAAAAUUGUCAAGUGGCUAAGGCUUUUUUUUUUUUAUCAUCUAUAUAUUAGAGUUUUAAAAAACAGUUUUGCAAAAUAGUUGAGUUGUGUAAUUAUUUCACCUCCACCCUUUGGCCUCUCUCGGUACAUUAUUAUGUAGAUGAGAGUAUUCGAUCGAAUCGAAUGAAAUUUUUUUUAAGUUAAUUAAGUUAACGAGUCUUAUUUUAUCAUUUUAACUUGAUUUAAAUUUUUUUAAAUUAAAUUGAAUAAAAUGAAAUUCGAGUCAAUUCGAAUAAAAUUAUUUGAGUUAAAUUAAAAAAUUAAACAUAUUAAAUUAAAAUCUUGUUAUACUAUAACUAACUUCAUAUUAUAGCACAUAAAUUUGAAACCAUAUAUAUUUGAAAAAAUUUUCAAAGCAAAAUAAAAAAAUUUACUUUAGUGCGAUAAACUUGAAUCAUUAAUUAACUUAUUUAUGUGCCAAAAUUAUUAUUCUAGAAAAUUUUUAAUUUUUUUAACUUUCUUUAUAUACUUUUUAGAACUUUUAGAAUUUUUUAUAAUUUUUAAGAAAUAUAAAUUUGUAAUUUAUAAAUAUUUUAAAAUUUUAAAAUUAUUUUGAAUUAUUUUGUAAUUUUUAUUGAGAGAGAGGUCAAUUUGCUUAUUUUAAAAUUGGCAAAGACCAAAAGGAUAUUUAUACCAAUAUGUUAUUCGAAUUAUUUGAGUUAUUUGAAUUGUAAAAUUCAACUCGAUUCGAACUCGAAACUCGAAUUACUUAUUUGAGUUGACUUGAAUAAUUUGAAUAACUCGAUUCAAUUAACUCAAAAUUCGAUUUUUUUUCGAAUCAAAUCGAAUUUUACUCACCCCUGUUAUUUUGCACAGCAUCACAAUAUAGAUUUUUCGGUUUUAGAAUAUCGCGAAUCCAUAUUCUUCUUCAUUGCUGUCGAGCUCAACCCUUCCACAAUCAUUAUCUAUACAUUAUCAUCAUACAUUAUAUGAAUCGCAGAAUAUAUUAUUGGAUUGUCAUAUAUAAUAAAUUUAUAUCUAUACAAUUUAAUCGAAGCUUCGAUUUUCAAUUGAUUUUACACUUCAUCUUCAGUAAUAUGAUAUCUUUUAUGAACAUCAUAUUAAUCAGACUCAAAUAUUACAUUGAUAUUUAUAUCACGAAUUUGAACAUUAUAAUUCACCACAACAAAGAACAUAUUGCCCAUUGUGUAUAAAAUUUUUGUAUAUAAUAUCAAUUUAAAUUAAAAAAAUUUAUCAAUAUAUAACUAAUAAAACAAUAAUAUCAUUCUCCCUAAUAUAAUAUCUUUAACUAUAACAUAAACAUAUUUCAUUUAAAAAAAACUAUGCUUAAUGUGAUACAUUGGAUUAUAAUAUUAUAUAAAUUAAAAUUUAUUAAAUUAUUUUUAUUUUUAAUAUUUUUAAGAAUAAUAUUGAGGGGAAAUUAAAUUAGAUUCUCAAAUAUGAAAUAAAAUAUAGGAUUUAUUUUCUAAAUAUAAGGACGCAAAUUUCAUAUAUAAAUGAUAUUAUAUAAUUAUAUUUUAUUAUAUAAAUCAUAAAAAUCCUAUUUCAAAUAAUUCUUUUUAGUUUCAUCAGUCAUUUGUUUUUAAGAUCAACAAAUUCAACGGCGUUUGUAAAAUAAAUUUUUGUACAAAUGAUUGUAAAAAGUUAGCUCAAUAAUCAAUUUUUAAAAUUUUUAUCAUAAUUUUAAUAGAUAUUAAAAUAAAAAGUAAAUAUUAAACAUAUAUAAAUUGCCAUUACAACUUACUACAAAGUAACUUAUAAAUAUAUUAUUUAUAUUUAAAAAUAAUAAAAUACAUAAAAAAAAUGGUUUGUAAUGAUAUUCCAAGAUUGACUUGCCAUUAAUUCUUCCCAAUUCAUUUUUAAUCUAAAAAUUGUCUUGGUAUAUUAACGAUAAUAGAAAUUUGUUAUAUGGGAAGAUUAAUUUAUUUAAUUACAUUUUUUGAGAAGUUAAGAGCAUAAUAUAAAAUAUUCUAUAUGCAUUAUAAAUUAUAACUGUGAUGGUAAAUAUUCUAUAUACAAUUAAAAUUACUUUAUUUCUUUAAAAAGAAUACUAGCAAUCGUUAAAAUGAAUUUUACUAAAUUGGAUGUAAUUGAAGCAUCACGAUUACACUUUUUGAUUUUUAAGGAGAGAGUGAGAAUGGAAAUAAUUACGCAAAUAAUCACAUCACAAUCUAAUUUUUAAAAAUUAUUUUUAUACAAGUUAUAAAAAACAUGAACAUGUAUGAGAGUUUGGGAUGAUUAUUACCAAAAUUUUCUUAUAUUAUAAAAAUAAUGGGUAUUUUUAAAGUUAUAACAAAAAAAAUAUUUAAAUCCUAAAAAAGUCUAAAAUUAUGAAAAAAAAAUGUUAUAAAAGUGUUAUAAUAUAUUUAUUUAUGAAAAGUUAUGGCUAAGAAGUAUAAAAAUAAUAUACUUAUUGGCAUAAUGAUUUUUUUGCCCCUCCAACUUUGUUAGAGUAUAAUGGUAACGACUCUGUUAUUGUAAGUUGUUAGUCUGUUAUUCAAAACUGUUAUGUUGUUAACAACAGUUACUAGCAACAACUAGCUCACAUAUUCUAUAAAUACUAGUGUUGUACAAUUCAAUGAAGAUAAUACAUAAAUAAUACAGAAUACCUUUUUCAAUACACAAUAUUGCUUUUACUUAGCUUACUGUAGAUAUUAACAUGGUAUCAAUCGCCUUGGUGCUGGAGACCUGAUCUUCGUUUGCUCCCAUGACUACCACUACUUCUAUUGACUCUGCCUCUGUCGAGCAUGGCUGUUCGGCGUCCACUGGUGUUCGGAUCGUUCAAUCCUUCCCUUGCCAUGACACUGUUAAAUUGGAUGAUGGAAAUUUCGUUCAAUGGCAGCAACAUAUUCGCCUGAUCAUUGAAGGUUACGAACUGACUGGUUUUUUGGAGGGCACGUUACCUGCUCCAUCGCGUUUUGUACAGUCGUCAGAGGGAUCUCUUGUUCCAAAUCCGGAUGCCUCGGCGUUCGUUCAACAUUAUAGGUUACUUGCCUCUUGGUUACUCUCCACUAUUAAUCCUUCACUAUUAUCCUCAUUUACAGAUGCUUGAACGGCGUGUGAUGUUUGGAAUACUUCCACUCGUCUCUUUGCAGCAGUCACGGGUGCAAAUUUAUCUCGCAUUUGUCACGAUCUAUACUCACUUAAGAAAGAUAACCUCUUAAUCAAAAAAUAUGUAGCAAAAAUUCAGAAUACCUGUGCCUUGAUCGAGGCUUCUGGCUUUCAGAUCUUAGAGGCAGAAAAGGUUAAGAUUGUCCUUACAGGUCUACCUCCGGAGUUUGAUGCUGUGCUUACCUUAGCAUCAUUCUCAUUUGAAACUCUACCAUUUCAACGUCUUGUUGACUUGUUAUUAGAAUAUGAGACGCGACAGAUGCAUGCAGUUCAAGAACUGUUGAUUCAUGCAAAUCUUGUGGAGUCUGUUCCGUUACCACCGAUGGUGGAUUCUGUUCAUGGUGGCCUCCUCCGUCCGGUGGUCGUGGCAAAGGAUUUCGUUCCUGCAUCCAAUGUCAUAUUUGCGGCCGAUUUGGGCAUUUAGCCUAGUGAUGUUAUUAUCGUUAUAAUCGCGAUUAUGAUGGACAACUGUCGGUGGCUCAGGCUUUAACUCCCGGUCGGUAGUCUGAGUCAGGUCUCGGCUGUUGGGUUUUUGUUUUCGUCGCAAACUCCUAGUGGGUUUGAUGGCCCUUCGACUACAGUGCCGUAUGGUUUCUUCUCUGGCAAAAAUUUUUGUGCUGCACCUCACAUGCCUAGGCUGUCCACUAGGGUUUCUAACCCCUUUGCAGUCUUUGAUGAUGGAUUUGGGCAUAAUGCCGCUAGGGCAAUGUUACAAUUUGGGCCUGGGCAUGAGUCUUCUCCUUUAGUGCCUAGGCAGGACUCAUAAUCUGGCAGUUUUGCUGCUGCUGCUAGGUUCGGGCCUGCUGCUACUAGGCCACAUGACUAUGGCUAUUAUCCUGGUCAGCCCGUGCGUGCCAGGUCAUCUAGCUCAAACUAGGAACUUGGGGGCACGUUUACUUUACUUGGGCCGCAGGCUACUAAUUUUCCAAAUGGGCCAACAUCCAAUUGUGUAAAGUUUUCUAAUUCUCUUGGACAUGGACGCGAGAUUGGGCCUUCCGGUGACGGUGAUUAUCAUGCGUCUAGGCCGUCUGUUCCUUGGCGGACCAAACUGAGGGCUCAUGUUUGCACUGAGUCUGAUCCGUGCAUUGGGCUCACUCGUCUACCCGAUUUACAUACGUCCGAUGUAUCUAAUUCUACUGAUCCUAAUAUUCACGCCACUCAAUUUAGGUCCAACCUUAAUGAUACUGGUUUCUAUAUCUCUAUACUCAUCAGAACUGCAUCCUGGUAUCCAAAUUCAAGGGCUACACACCAUGUAUGUCGCGAUGCCUUUGUGUUGAAUGACUCUACACCUUACUCAGGUACAUCCUCUCUAUUAAUGGGUGACGAGACUUCCACCAGGAUCUCGUCUGUUGGAAAUUCAGUGUUUCCUACAUAGAAUAAAUUACUUCGCUUAUCUAAUGUUUUAUGUGUACCGACUAUACAGAAGAAUCUACUGUCUGUAUAUCAGUUUGCCACUAGCAAUAACGUGUUUUUUGAAUUUCAUCUAACUUAUUGUGUUGUUAAGGACAUCAAGACUUAGAAAAUUUUGUUGAGGGGCCACAUUCGUGAUGGGUUCUAAUAUUUUUCUCCAUCGAUUGCGUCUGUUCCGUCUAUUGUGGCUCCUUCUAUUGCCAAUAUUGGACUUUAGACUCGGACUGCUAACUGUGAUAAUUUUUCUUUAUGGCACAAGUGUCUUGGUCAUCUCUCUGCUUCUGUUGUUAAAUCUGUUUUAGAUAAAUGUAAUAUUGCUUCCAAUAAAGUUUGUCUUGAUAAUGUUUAUACUACAUGCCAAAAAGGGAAGUCUCAUAAACUGCCUUUUCCAACCCCUACUACUGAAUAUACUGAUCCUUUUACUUUGGUGGUCUUCGACCUAUGGGGACCUACAUCAGUUGCCUGUAGACGUAAUCGGUAUUAUGUCUCGUUUAUUGACAUGUGCACUCACUUUACUUGGAUUUAUCUUAUUCGUUAAAAGUCUUAGGCGGUGGAUUGUUUUGUUUAGUUUCAACAAUUAAUCAAGACUCAAUUUGGUAAAAAAAUCAAACAAUUUCAGAGUGAUUGGGGAGGAGAGUUUUGCGCUUUCACGUCAGUGUUGGCGACUCAAGGGAUAAUUCAUAGACUGUCCUAUCUUCAUACGCCCGAACAGAAUGGGGUGGCUGAACGCAAUCGCCAGCAUAUUGUUGACAUGGGUAUUACAUUUUUGGCCCAAACAAAUCUUCCUAUAGAUUAUUAGAGCAAUGCAUUUUUUGUGCUAUUAUCUCAUCAAUCGUCUUUCUACCUCGGUUUUGAACGAACAAUCCCUGUACAAGGUUCUGCAUAGACAAGAUCCCACAUAUGAUCAUUUACGAAUGUUUAGGUGUUGUUGUUUUCCAUAUCUGCGUCCUUUUCUGCGUCACAAGUUGGAUUUUCGUUCUUAACCUUAUAUGUUUAUAGGAUAUAGUUCCCAACAUAAAGGGUAUCAAUGUCUCACAGCGGAUGGUAAGGUCGUUAUUUCUCAUCAUGUUGUGUUUGAUGAACACCAUUUUCUGUUUCCUACGUCUGUUACGGGAGGUUCCAGAUCUUCAUUAGGUCAAUCUCUCUCACCAACAUAUGUUCCUCUUGUUCAGCCUGUCUGCUCUUGACCCACGGAGUCCUCAUCCGCUCAACCUCUUGCGUUAACCUCACCUCUUGGUUUAUGUCCCUCUCUUUCUAACUCUAAAGUUCCUCAGGUUGUUUUGGGAUCUGUACAUGAGCUCUGUCCUCUCUCCUCUUUACCUGACAAUGACGGUGUACCCAAUCCAACCACGAUUGCUUCCAAUAUUCCAGUUUCUCCACUAUUUCGUCAGCUCUUUUGCACCUAACAAAUACUUAUCCGAUGGUUACUUGGUCUAAGGCUGGCGUUUUUAAGCCCAAGGCUCUGUCUGUUGAAUCUGUUGAGCCUCACACGAUUGAGGAAGCCAUUUUUACCACCAAAUGGCUUGCCGCUGCUCGGGCUGAGUAUGAUGCCCUCAUUCAUAACUCCACCUGGAACUUGUUUCGUUACUAAAUAAUUGUAAAGUGAUCUGAUGUAAAUGACUUUUCAAAGUAAAAAAAUCUUGAUGGCACGAUUGCAUGUCGUAAGGCUUAGUUAGUAAUUAAAGGAUGUUCUCAGGUACCUGGAUGCGAUUUCAAGGAAACAUUUAGUCCAGUAAUAAAACCUGCUACUAUUCGAAUCAUACUAUCUAUUGUUGUUUCCAAGGGUUGGCAACUUCGUCAGGUGGAUGUGAAUAAUGCCUUUUUAAAUGGUGAUCUUACUAAUGAAAUGUUUAUGCAUCAACCUCCAGGGUAUGUUCAAUAUGGUUCUAAUGGUAAACAUUUGGUCUAUCGUCUGAAGAAGGCUUUGUAUGGACUAUGUCAGACUCCGCGUGCUUGGUUUGAUAAAUUGAAGUGCUUUCUCCUUUCUGUUGGUUUUCUUCUAUUAAAGUCUGAUACAUAUUUGUUUAUUAAAGUUACGCCUAACUCCACUCUUUAUGUUCUUGUGUAUGUGGAUGAUAUUAUCAUUACUAAAAGCAUGUCUACCUGUAUAAAUAGCUUUGUUCAGUAGUUGAAUAAGGAGUUCUCACUUAAACAUAUGGGUGAUCUCCUUUAUUUUCUAGGGAUUAAGGUUACUCGUUUUGCCGAAGGGUGUCUUCAUCUAUGCUAACGAAAGCACAUUCGCGAUCUGCUAGAUAGGAGUUCCAUGACUCAUGCAAAGAGUGUUCAUAAUCCUAUGAUUACUUCGUCUCCUCUAUCCAAGGAUGAUGGGGAUCAUCUUCAUGACCCUACUGAAUACAGAAGUCUUGUAGGUGCUUUACAGUAUGUGGUCCUUACUCGACCUGAUAUUGCCUACGCGUUAAAUCGCAUAUGUUAGUUCAUGCAUGCGCCUACUGCUGUCCAUCUGGUUACAUUAAAAUGAAUCUUGUGGUAUUUAUGUGGUACCCUUGAUUAUGAGAUUGUUUUUCAUCAAUCUUCUCAACUUUUGUAACGCCUAAAAAUUUCUAAUUUCGUUAUUAUGAAAAUAUGACACAAAUAUCUAUCAACUUUAGUGGUUAUGUGUUCUGAAAGUGUCUGGGAGGUCCCAAGUUUGAGCCUUCGCUUGGGAAAAUUUUAGUAUUUUGAAUGAAUUAGGCCUUACUCUUGUUCAGUAGGCUUCUAUUUGAUUGUUGGGUAAAUUACAUCAGAAUGAAUUCAUGAGAAAGGUAUAAUAAACUUUGUGAGACAAGGUCAGAAUGAAUUUGGGUUCCCCUGUUCUGACUUUGAAAAAUCAUGAAAAUUGGAGAAAAAUAAUUGGGGGUUAAAAUUUACAUAUUUAAAUUAUUGUUGAGACUAUUUUCAAUAAAAACAAAUUGAAACAUCAUCCAAUUUUUUUACUAAGAGAUAAUUAAUUUUUAGCAAAGAAGGGACGAAGCUGUCAGACAGCAGAACAGGGGUAAGUUUGAAGAUUUUACUGUACUUAUUGGCAGAACAAAAAAUUUUAAAAAUUUUAUGGUAAGGUAUUUGAGUCUAGUUUCAAAACCAUCAAGUGGAUCUUAAUUCGGAAUUCUGUAGCUCAAUAUAUAAAUAAUUUAGUAACAGUGACUCAAGUAGACAACUUUGAAGGAACAUAUAAGUAAAUAGUGAAAACAUAUAUGAAUAAUUAACUAGCACGAGUUACAUUAAAAAUGGAUCAUGUGGCCAAGGCCAAUUUGGGCCGAGUGGGCCACAUGGGCGUGUGAGCCUAUUUUUCUAAAAAGUUCUGUAAGGUUGCACGGGUCGCCCAAGUCAACUAUGGACCUACUGAAGGGUCGGUAAGCUUUACUUAGACCCCUAUCUGUGUGAUCUGUGUGAUUUCUAUACCGAGCAUGACUUAUGAUAUCUGAAUGUAUGUACUAUUAAUUGCAUAAUGGCAUGACAUAUUUUGUAUGCUGCAUUGCAUCGGGGUAGGUUGAUGAUAUUUGGAGAAAGUGUCUGAAAGGCUAUUAAGUCUAUUAUCUGCAGCUCAGCUGCAACCUUAUGAUUAUGUGCCGCAUUUCGGUACAGCAUGGUGUGUAGGGAUGAGUGGGUUGAUUUAAUCCCCACAUGGUGUGUAGGGUUGGACGAAGAUGGUGUGUAGAGGCUGGUGGGUAGGAUUCUGAUUUACUGUAUCUGCAUUUUGUAUCUGAUAUAGGCCAAGGCCCUAAUGCAUUUCUAAGACUGUAUCUGAAUGGGUUAAGGCCCAAACUGAUUCUGUGAUGGACACAGGCCUCGGACUGUAUCUAACUGAAUUCUAUUGAUUAUUUGUAUGCAUGUUUUCUGUGGGGAUUACACAUUGAGUUUGCGAAAACUUACCCUUUCUUUGUUUAAUCUAUAUAGGUAAUCCCCAAACUUGACGGGUCGAUGCAGCGGAGGACUCAACGGUGGCCACACGUAAAUUUUAGACUAUUUUCCAUAAUUUCUAGAAUUUAUUACUUAUUUGAGGUUUUUGAUGUAUCUUCUAGACUAUGAACUGGAUGGCUUUAAAUUUGAGACUUUAUACUAUUUUUUAUGGAUUUUUUUUAAAAACUGCAACUCCACAAAACACGAUUUUUUUCCUAAAAAGCUAAGGUUCUUCGUAAGUAGAAACAAUUUUCCCUAAAUUAAUUGGUUACAAAAGCUUUCAAUAAGAGACAAGUUUUAAAGUAAAUCAACUAGUUUUUUUUUCGAAUUAAAUAAAAGCUAACUUACUGUAACGGUUUUUAAAUUCGACAAUAUUAUAUUUGAAUCUCUUUCCAUGUGACAUCGCCAGAUUCGACCAUAACAUCUAGGCCGGGUUUAGGGUGUUACAUUUAGUGGUAUCAAAGCCAGGUUGCAAUACUCAGCUGUGGAUUUGGGUUUUAAAACUUGGUUUUAAAGAGAUGAUUUUUAAAUGGUUUGAAAUAUUUUUGACUGAGUAUGUGGUACACUGAGUCUUCGGCGCCGAUUCUGUAAAUGUUCUAAAAACUUUGGUAAGUUUUUGAAAAUAUGAGUAGCAUGUUCUGAAACUACUAUAGGUAGUACACUGUACUAAGAACACUGUAGAUAGAAUAUACUAAAAACAGUAGCGAAACUGAAAACUAUAGUAAGUCUGCGAUUCGUGUUAACAAACUCUAAACUUCUGAUACUAUUUUGCAUAAAAUAUCUACUAAUAGAUAUCGAAACUGUAAUUGAUUCAUAAAACUGUUAACACAGAUAAGCUACGAAUUCUACGAUGAGUGCACGAGGUAUCCGCGGACGGGUACUAAAGGCCGAGGUAGAGGCUGUAGAGGGGCUCGAGCUGAGUCCCGGACCAUGAUCACCUCUAAUUGUGAGUCUAAAUAUUAUAAGGUCGGUGUUAAUUAUGCAAAUAAAAAAAUUUCUUGCAAUAUAUUGUGGUGUAUGAUACCAUUUGAGAAAAUAGUGUUAAACACAAGCACAAUAAAACUUUGAUUUGAAACAUUUAAGGCUUCAAAAUGCGGUUGAGAAGGUAUUUGUUGUUCUGAAAACAUAUUUAUCAUAUUAACAACAUCACUUUUGUAUAACAUAUAAAAAAAAAGUUGGAUCGUA